UAGGGAAUCUUGGACAAUGGGCGAAAGCCUGAUCCAGCCAUGCCGCGUGAGUGACGAAGGCCUUAGGGUUGUAAAACUCUUUCGCAGGUGACGAUAAUGACGGUAACCUGAGAAGAAGCUCCGGCUAACUUCGUGCCAGCAGCCGCGGUAAUACGAAGGGGGCUAGCGUUGUUCGGAUUUACUGGGCGUAAAGCGCGUGUAGGCGGAUUGAUAAGUUGGGGGUGAAAGCCCAGGGCUCAACCCUGGAACUGCCUUCAAGACUGUCAGUCUGGACUCAAGGAGAGGCGAGUGGAAUUGCGAGUGUAGAGGUGAAAUUCGUAGAUAUUCGCAGGAACACCAGUGGCGAAGGCGACUCGCUGGACUUGUAGUGACGCUGAGACGCGAAAGCGUGGGGAGCAAACAGGAUUAGAUACCCCCGUAGUCC
rnacentral:rRNA from 1 species